CGGGUGAGUAACACGUGAGUGACCUGCCUUUUAGACUGGAACAACUUACCGAAAGGUGAGCUAAUGCCGGAUGAGUUAUAUAAGUGCAUGUUUAUAUAGGAAAAGUUGGGGAGACCUGACGCUGAAAGAUGGACUCGCGUCCCAUUAGCUAGUUGGUAGGGUAAUGGCCUACCAAGGCGACGAUGGGUAGCCGGCCUGAGAGGGUGGCCGGCCACACUGGGACUGAGACACGGACCAAACUCCUACGGAAGGCAGCAG
rnacentral:rRNA from 1 species